AUGCAGAACAAACAAGCUCCUUGGGUCUUGUCUUUUUCUCUGCUUCAGAUUUGCAGGUAUAGUAUAGCAGUAUAUUUUUUUUCAACUGAAAAAGACUGGAAUUUGGCAGGCAAAAUCUAUAGAGAUUGAUGGCCCUUUUAAGCCGGGAACCUAAUUAAUUGGCGAAGAUGAUGAAUGCGACUGAGAGUUCUGCUCUGCUGCACCCGGGCUCUCCAUGCACGCCCAGAUCAGGUCAUCUUCAUCAAGGCAUCAACUCAUCUGCCAGUGAGAAGAUUGCCCCUGCACUGCUGAUUCACAAGGACCUUCAGCUCCAGAUUUGAACUGUGGAGACAUCCAACGUUAUGGGCUGAGCAGCUAUCGGUUUCUCAACCCCUCCAGCAUCUAGACAAACACCGUUGGAUAACCCAGGUCAUCUAGGUGAGUCGAUCUAAUCAACCCUCUUUGUAGUAUACAUUCAUUCUGUAGGGUCUGUUCCUCAAUAGCAGUGGUUCUCAACCUAUGGGUUGCAAAACCACUAUCUCCAAAAGUAUUUGCAUUAUGAUUCAUAAGAGUAGCACAAUCAUAGUUAUGAAAUGGCAAUAAAAUUUUUGUGGUUGGGGGUCACCACAACAUGAGGAGCCAUAUUAAAGGGUCGUAGCAUUAGGAAGGUUGAGAAUCACUGUUCUAGAGAACUUCACCUCACAGAACCAUUAAGACAGCCUUGCUUUCUUUUUGGUUAGUUUGUGGCACCAGAGAUUGAUAGUCGGGCCUCAUGCAUAGCAGAUGAGUGCUCUACCACAAAGCGGCAUUCCUAGGCCACUAUUUACCUUAUUUUUGAGACAAGCUCUGACCAGAUUGCCUAGGCUUCCUGUGCCUGCCAUCUUCCCACCUCAGUCCACUGUCUCUGGGAUUAUAAGUUGUGUCACUGGGCCUGGCUAGGCCUUGGUAUUCAUGACUUUUGCUGCUAUGACUGAAUGCAUGACAAGAAGCAGCUUAAGAAAGCAAGGGCUUAUUUUCCGCUUACAAUUCAGGAGAAUACGGUCCAUCCUGGCAGAGAGCAUGGCAGCAGGAAUGUGAGUAAUUAGGCCAUAUUGUGUAUGGAGUUAGGAAGUGGACAGAAAGUGAGUCCAGGCUAUAAAAUCCUCAAGGACUCUUUCCAAUGACCCAUCUCUUCUAAUGAGUCUUGGCCUCCUAAAGUUCCCACAGCUUUCCAAAGCAGUACCUCCAAUUGGGGAUGAAACGUUUGAGCACAUGUCCCUAUGAGGCACACUUACAUUUAAUCCACAGCAGCCUUACUUCUAGACAAGAUUAAAAAUUAUCUUCCCAGCCAGGCGUGGUGGCGUACGCCUUUAAUCCCAGCACUUGGGAGGCAGGCAG
rnacentral:lncRNA from 1 species